rnacentral:rRNA from 1 species
GGGCCCGCACAAGCGGCGGAGCAUGCGGAUUAAUUCGAUGCAACGCGAAGAACCUUACCAAGGCUUGACAUAUAGAGGAAAAGUGCAGAAAUGCACUCCCCGCAAGGUCUCUAUACAGGUGGUGCAUGGUUGUCGUCAGCUCGUGUCGUGAGAUGUUGGGUUAAGUCCCGCAACGAGCGCAACCCUCGUCCUAUGUUGCCAGCACGUAAUGGUGGGAACUCAUGGGAUACUGCCGGGGUCAACUCGGAGGAAGGUGGGGAUGACGUCAAAUCAUCAUGCCCCUUAUGUCUUGGGCUUCACGCAUGCUACAAUGGCCGGUACAGAGGGCCCCCGUCAAUUCCUUUGAGUAG